UACAGAGGGGGCAAGCGUUGUUCGGAAUUACUGGGCGUAAAGGGCGCGUAGGCGGCCUGCUAAGUCGAACGUGAAAUCCCUGGGCUCAACCCAGGAACUGCGUCCGAUACUGGUUGGCUUGAAUCCGGGAGAGGGAUGCGGAAUUCCAGGUGUAGCGGUGAAAUGCGCAGAUAUCAGGAGGAACACCGGUGGCGAAGGCGGUUCUCUGGGAAUGACCCGACGCUGAGGAGCGAAAGUGUGGGGAGCGAACAGG
rnacentral:rRNA from 1 species